GCAUAUCAAUAAGCGGAGGAAAAGAAACCAACAGGGAUUGCCCUAGUAACGGCGAGUGAAGCGGCAACAGCUCAAAUUUGAAAUCUGGCUCUCGGGCCCGAGUUGUAAUUUGUAGAGGAUGCUUUUGAUGCGGUGCCUUCCGAGUUCCCUGGAACGGGACGCCAUAGAGGGUGAGAGCCCCGUCUGGUUGGAUGCCAAAUCUCUGUAAAGCUCCUUCGACGAGUCGAGUAGUUUGGGAAUGCUGCUCUAAAUGGGAGGUAUAUGUCUUCUAAAGCUAAAUACCGGCCAGAGACCGAUAGCGCACAAGUAGAGUGAUCGAAAGAUGAAAAGCACUUUGAAAAGAGAGUUAAAAAGUACGUGAAAUUGUUGAAAGGGAAGCGUUUAUGACCAGACUUGGGCUUGGUUAAUCAUCUGGGGUUCUCCCCAGUGCACUUUUCCAGUCCAGGCCAGCAUCAGUUUUCGCCGGGGGAUAAAGGCUUCGGGAAUGUGGCUCUCUCCGGGGAGUGUUAUAGCCCGUUGCGUAAUACCCUGGCGGGGACUGAGGUUCGCGCAUCUGCAAGGAUGCUGGCGUAAUGGUCAUCAACGACCCGUCUUGAAACACGGACCAAGGAGUCGUCUUCGUAUGCGAGUGUUCGGGUGUCAAACCCCUACGCGUAAUGAAAGUGAACGCAGGUGAGAGCUUCGGCGCAUCAUCGACCGAUCCUGAUGUUCUCGGAUGGAUUUGAGUAAGAGCAUACGGGGCCGGACCCGAAAGAAGGUGAACUAUGCCUGUGUAGGGUGAAGCCAGAGGAAACUCUGGUGGAGGCUCGCAGCGGUUCUGACGUGCAAAUCGAUCGUCAAACAUGGGCAUGGGGGCGAAAGACUAAUCGAACCUUCUAGUAGCUGGUUUCCGCCGAAG
rnacentral:rRNA from 1 species